CGGCGGACGGGUGAGUAACGCGUGGGUAACCUGCCUCAUACAGGGGGAUAACAGUUAGAAAUGACUGCUAAUACCGCAUAGGACCACGGUACCGCAUGGUACAGUGGUAAAAACUCCGGUGGUAUGAGAUGGACCCGCGUCUGAUUAGGUAGUUGGUGGGGUAACGGCCUACCAAGCCGACGAUCAGUAGCCGACCUGAGAGGGUGACCGGCCACAUUGGGACUGAGACACGGCCCAG
rnacentral:rRNA from 1 species